AUUGAACGCUGGCGGCAUGCCUAACACAUGCAAGUCGAGCGGAGCGGCGGACGGGUGAGUAAUGCCUAGGAAUCUGCCUGGUAGUGGGGGAUAACGUCCGGCAACGGGGGCUAAUACCGCAUACUAUCAGAUGAGCCUAUGUCGGAUUAGCUAGUUGGUGGGGUAAAGGCCUACCAAGGCGACGAUACGUAACUGGUCUGAGAGGAUGAUCAAUCAGAAUGGAACUGAGACACGGUCCAGACUCGUACGGGAGGCAGCAGUGAGGAAUAUUGGAGAAUGGACGGAGGACUAAUGCAGACAUGGCGCGUGCGUGAAGAAGGUCAUCGGAGUGUAAAGCACUUUAAGUUGGAAGGCGUUACCAACAGAAUAAGCAACGGCUAACUUCGUGCCAGCAGCCGCGGUAAUUC
rnacentral:rRNA from 1 species